rnacentral:lncRNA from 1 species
AUGGGGAGUGCUACAGAGGGAAACCACGCCUGCCACACGGCCUCAUACGGUGUGCUGCGAGGGACAGCUUCAUCCCUGAAGGCGAUGGGGAGCCACUGGAGAAUGCAUUUCAUAUUGGAAGGAGGGAUAUCUAUGCAUGGGGAAAACUCCAGAAAUUAUGAAAACUCUGAAGGACAGCAUGGCCAUUUUGGAAAAGCAAGACAAAAAACAAGGAGCCUGACCAAGACAGCUGGCCAUGCCUGUAAACAGACCUCUAGCUGAGAAACGGUACACUGUUGCUGUAUCACAAAAUACUCCUCUUCUAGAAAGGGACCAUGAAUGUGGGGGCAGCCAUCUUAAUCACCCUUAGGAACCAGAAAGUUGCCUUUACUCUUAAAAGAUGAAUUUUGUGGUAUGUGAAUUCUAUCUCAAUAAAGCUG